UACAGAGGGUGCGAGCGUUGUCCGGAAUCACUGGGCGUAAAGGGCGCGUAGGCGGCUUGGCAAGUCGGGUGUGAAAUCCCGGGGCUCAACCCCGUGACUGCAUUCGAUACUGUCAGGCUAGAGGUAGGUAGGGGAGAUCGGAAUUCCUGGUGUAGCGGUGAAAUGCGCAGAUAUCAGGAGGAACACCGGUGGCGAAGGCGGAUCUCUGGGCCUUACCUGACGCUCAGGCGCGAAAGCUAGGGGAGCGAACAGG
rnacentral:rRNA from 1 species